rnacentral:rRNA from 1 species
UACGGGGGGGGCAAGCGUUGUUCGGAAUUACUGGGCGUAAAGGGCUCGUAGGCGGCCAACUAAGUCAGACGUGAAAGCCCUGGGCUCAACCUGGGAAUGGCAUUGGAAACUGGCGACCUAGAGUGCGGUAGAGGGUAGUGGAAUUCUCGGUGUAGCAGUGAAAUGCGUAGAGAUCGGGAGGAACAUCCGUGGCGAAGGCGACUACCUGGACCAGCACUGACACUGAGGCACGAAAGCGUGGGGAGCAAACAGG